ACAUCCCAACCAAGAAGCAUCGAAGCUGUUCUGGCUCCUGGUCGUCCAACGUCCUGUUAAUAAACACUUGAUGUUGGUGUUUCCUUUAUUCAGUUACCUGCAUCUUCAAUACUCUAAUAUAUAUAAUCACAUAAUCAUAUUUAAAACACAACGCUUUUAUCCACAUUUUACAUACAGGUGGUCCCGUCUGGGUGCAUCCCAUAGGACACCCUAUUCCCUACAUAGACCACGAGGUAGGGAAUAGGGGGCCAUUUAGACCACUAGGUAGGGAAUAGGGGGCCAUUUAGACCACUAGGUAGGGAAUAGGGGGCCAGUUUGACCACUAGGUAGGGAAUAGGGGGCCAUUUUGACAACUAGGUAGGGAAUAGGGGGCCAGUUUGACCACUAGGUAGGGAAUAGGGGGCCAUUUUGACAACUAGGUAGGGAAUAGGGGGCCAGUUUGACCACUAGGUAGGGAAUAAGGGGCCAUUUUGACCACUAGGUAGGGAAUAGGGGGCCAGUUUGACCACUAGGUAGGGAAUAGGGGGCCAGUUUGACCACUAGGUAGGGAAUAGGGGGCCAUUUAGACCACUAGGUAGGGAAUAGGGGACCAGUUUGACAACUAGGUAGGGAAUAGGGGGCCAGUUUGACCACUGGGUAGGGAAUAGGGGGCAUUUUGACCACUAGGUAGGGAAUAGGGGGCCAUUUAGACCACUAGGUAGGGAAUAAGGGGCCAGUUUGACAACUAGGUAGGGAAUAGGGGGCCAGUUUUACCACUAGGUAGGGAAUAGGGGCCAGUUUGACCACUAGGUAGGGAAUAGGGGGCCAUUUAGACCACUAGGUAGGGAAUAAGGGGCCAGUUUGACAACUAGGUAGGGAAUAAGGGGCCAGUUUGACAACUAGGUAGGGAAUAAGGGGCCAGUUUGACAACUAGGUAGGGAAUAGGGGGCCAGUUUGACCACUAGGUAGGGAAUAGGGGGCCAGUUUGACCACUAGGUAGGGAAUAGGGGGCCAUUUUGACCACUAGGUAGG